UAAGGAGGGUGCGAGCAUUAUUCGGAAUUACUGGGCGUAAAGCGCGUGUAGGGGGGAGUGCAAGUCUGAUGUGAAAGCCCCGGGCUUAACCUGGGAAGUGCAUUGGAAACUGCAUUUCUUGAGUGCUGGAGAGGAAGGGGGAAUUGCCGGUGUAGAGGUGAAAUUCGUAGAGAUCGGGAGGAAUACCAGUGGCGAAGGCGCCCUUCUGGACGGCAACUGACGCUGAGACGCGAAAGCGUGGGGAGCAAACAGG
rnacentral:rRNA from 1 species